GGCCUUGCAGCGCCAGAAACUGCAGUGAACAGGACUGGGGCUGCCAGCAGUUUCCGGGCCACAAAUCCCAGGACUCCAUGACCAAAGGACUGAUGUACUCAAGUGGUGUGAACAAUUGCUUCUCGAGGAUGCCAAGUGUCCUGUUGGAUUUGGCUCUUGGCACCUGAUCUGCUGAGUUGGAUUUGUGGUUGAUCUUGAAGAUUUUAAAGG